UACGUAGGGGGCAAGCGUUGUCCGGAUUUACUGGGCGUAAAGAGCGCGCAGGCGGUCGUUCAAGUCGAGUGUGAAAGCCCCCGGCUCAACUGGGGAGGGUCACUCGAUACUGAUCGACUCGAAGGCAGGAGAGGGAAGUGGAAUUCCCGGUGUAGUGGUGAAAUGCGUAGAUAUCGGGAGGAACACCAGUGGCGAAGGCGACUUCCUGGCCUGUUCUUGACGCUGAGGCGCGAAAGCUAGGGUAGCAAACGGG
rnacentral:rRNA from 1 species